CCACUAUUCCCUCAAAAAGCUAUCAGACAGUAAGCAUAUUGUGAAGUAUACAUUUUUAUUUAACAUUCCUAAAAUAGGUUGUAUUUACAUAUUAUAUAAAUGUAUGAAGUCUUAAUAUAAAAUAGAAAACUGCAUUGACUGAGGAAAUCAUACUCCAUAUGGAGUUACUUAUUGAAGACCAUUUGUUUAUGAAAUUUUACAAUAAUUUAUAUAAAUUAUCUCUUCCAAAUUAGAUGAUUAUUUUUUCUUUUUACUAAUCCACACAAUUUUGAUGACUUUACAAACAGUGGUGUACAUUACAAACUUAAAAAACAGUUACAGCAUCUUCCGGCGCACAACUGGCUUUGGAAAAUUAGACAGUCUUUUUUUGUUCUUUUGUACAGUCUUCUCUGUUGCAUCUGUGGUUUCUUUCUGUUUGCUUUUCAUUUCCUCCACUGGACUUCCAAAAGGAGAAAUGAACUUUAUUUCCACUGGUGGAGGUGACCAAGAAACUUCUUUGCUUGUGGUUCUGCUUGCUUUCUUCACUUUUGAUCUUGCAGGUCUACCUCUCUUCAAUUUUUGUUUUCCCACAGAUUCUAUGGAUUUGAU
rnacentral:lncRNA from 1 species